GAAAGGCGUGCUAAUACCGGAUGUGUUCCUUCGGGAAUAAAGGCGACCUCUGACAUAAGUUGCCGUAUAGAGAUGAGCCUGCGUACCAUUAGCUAGUAGGUGGGGUAAAGGCCUACCUAGGCGACGAUGGUUAGCGGGUCUGAGAGGAUGAUCCGCCACACUGGAACUGGAACACGGACCAGACUCCUACGGGAGGCAGUAGUGAGGAAUUUUGCGCAAUGGGCGAAAGCCUGACGCAGCGACGCCGCGUGGGUGAAGAAGGUCUUCGGAUCGUAAAACCCUGUCAGGUGGGAAGAAAUGUUUUGCGGUUAAUACCCGCAGGAUUUGACGGUACCAUCAAAGGAAGCACCGGCUAACUCCGUGCCAGCAGCCGCGGUAAUACGGAGGGUGCAAGCGUUGUUCGGAAUUACUGGGCGUAAAGGGCGCGCAGGCGGCCUAUCAAGUCAGGUGUGAAAGUCCACGGCUCAACCGUGGAAGUGCAUCUGAAACUGGUGGGCUUGAGUACUGGAAGGGGAAGUGGAAUUCCCGGUGUAGAGGUGAAAUUCGUAGAUAUCGGGAGGAAUACCGGUGGCGAAGGCGACUUCCU
rnacentral:rRNA from 1 species